CCAAUAGCGUAUAUUAAAGUUGUUGCAGUUAAAAAGCUCGUAGUUGAAUUUCGGGAUCAAUGCGUCGGUCGUGCCUUCGGUACGUACUAGCGUCAUUGAUUCCUCCCUUCUGAAGAACCGUGAUGUCAUUAAUUUGGUGUUACGGGGAAUCAGGACUGUUACCUUGAAAAAAUUAGAGUGUUUAAAGCAGGCUAACGCUUGAAUACAUUAGCAUGGAAUAAUGAAAUAGGACGUUCGAACCUAUUUUGUUGGUUUCUAGGAUCGACGUAAUGAUUAAUAGGGAUAGUUGGGGGCAUUAGUAUUCAAUUGUCAGAGGUGAAAUUCUUGGAGUUAUUGAAGACUAACUACUGCGAAAGCAUUUGCCAAGGAUGUUUUCAUUAAUCAAGAACGAAAGUUAGGGGAUCGAAGACGAUCAGAUACCGUCGUAGUCUUAACCAUAAACUAUGCCGACUAGGGAUCGGAUGAUGUUAAUUUUUUAAUGACUCAUUCGGCGCCUUACGGGAAACCAAAGUGUUUGGUUC
rnacentral:rRNA from 1 species